rnacentral:sRNA from 1 species
GCUCUCCGGAGCCCUGUGCUGUGCCACGAGGAGCAGCCGUAGGCCGGGCUGUGCAGAGCCUUGUCUCCAUCUAAGGAGUGGAUGCUUUGAUUGGAACCCUCACCCAGAAUGAAAUGAUAUUUAAGCGGCUGCACCUGGGCACCGUGUCCUAUGGCGCCGACACGAUGGAUGAGAUCCAGAGCCAUGUCAGGGACUCCUACUCACAGAUGCAGUCUCAAGCUGGUGGAAACAAUACUGGUUCAACUCCACUAAGAAAAGCCCAAUCUUCAGCUCCCAAAGUUAGGAAAAGUGUCAGUAGUCGAAUCCAUGAAGCCGUGAAAGCCAUCGUGCUGUGUCACAACGUGACCCCCGUGUAUGAGUCUCGGGCCGGCGUUACUGAGGAGACUGAGUUUGCAGAGGCUGAUCAAGACUUCAGUGAUGAGAAUCGCACCUACCAGGCUUCCAGCCCGGAUGAGGUCGCUCUGGUGCAGUGGACAGAGAGUGUGGGCCUCACGCUGGUCAGCAGGGACCUCACCUCCAUGCAGCUGA